GUCAGAGGUCAAGGGACCCCUUUGAAAAUGGCCAUGCCAGUUUUUCCUCGCCAAAAUUUAGCAUAACUUUGGAGCGUUAUUUAGCCUCCUUCCCGACAAGCCAACAUGACCUGGUUGGAACCAAUGAAUUCUUUAGGUCUUUCUAAUUCCAAUAUG